ensembl:lncRNA
GGAAUGUGCUGUUGGGAGCUGGGGCCCGUGCUUGCAGGGUGUAUCUCUCGCUGGCACCUCCCCUGGGUUGUACUUCUCUUUACCCUGAAGCAGGAAGCUCUGGUCCUCCACAGCCUUCCACCAUGAUAUUCCUGCCUUAGAGCCAGCAAGCCAUGGACUCAAACCUCUGAAACUAAAUCUUGGAGGAUGUUAAGAGAAAAAGAAGAGGGAUCCUAAUUGAAAGCUUGGGAAUCCUGCCUUGCAAGAUGGGGUUAGAAGCCUUCUACUUAAGAGGGCUGUAUGAGAUGGAAAAAUGAUCAGAGAAUCAAAGAUGAAGAAGAAUAAAAUCAGGAAGACAUGGAAAUUAAGGGUGACCAAAUAGCAAACCGACCUUUGGAGGCUCACCGAUCACUCUGUUAAAAGACUUAAAACACAGCUCAUUUUGAAUCUCCAGAUAUGGAACCAAAUGAGAUGUGAUAUUGACCAUUCACUACUGUUUCUGGGAAGUGGAACUCAUGCAGUGAUGUGAGCACUGGGGAGCAGCUGUAAAUACAGUUGAAGCUUUGGCUGAAGCUAAUGUCCUGCUGUGCCUGGUUCCUAACAGACUGUGGACUGGUACUGAUGUGUGGGUCCAGGGUUGGGGACCCUUUGCAUGAAACGAUAACUCACCUCUUCUCUCAGGUUCUGAUAAUUUCUGUUCUUUCUGUCUCUGAAUUUGCAUAUUGUAGACCCUUCAUGAAAGUAGAGUCAUAAUACUUGCCCUCCAGUGUCUGGCUUAUUUCAUUAAGUGUGUUUUCAAGGGUCACUUUUGGUUGGGGGUGUAGUUCAGUGGUAUAACACAUGUUUAGCAUGCACAAAUCCCUGUGUUCACUUCCCAGCACCAAAAAUAAAAAGUUGAUCUGAAUUGUAGUAUCAGAAUUUCAUUUCUUUUUAGGACUGAA